AUGGGGAUGUGUUCAAGGCAAGACCGAAUUCAGAAGGAUAUCGACGUCGUGAUCCAGAAGUCCAGAGCUGAGGACUGCCUGUUUGCAGGGCCCGCCUGGCAGGACGACUGAGCAAGUCCUUGGAAAACCAGAGAUAUUAGAGCGGUGAAUCGCGCUGGUCACGUUGGACACCUGCGCGUUAGGAGAUUCUGGAGCCAGAGGGAGAGACCCCAGAAACUCCCCGGUCGGCGACCCAGCCCGAGACGCCUGGGGUCCCAAGGGAAGCUGAACGCCCGGUGGGCUCCCGGGAUGGUUCUUCCGGUUCUUUGUGCCGCCUUCACCCAGUGAAGGAGCCUGUAUCCACCCUGCCCAGUCGCUGUUGGGCUGCUGCGGAGCUUCCGCUGCCAUCUUCGGAUCCUGUGUUCCGCCCGGGGCUCCACCAGGGCAGGGAUGGUGGUGAGGGUCGCUCGUGGGUCCCCUGGCAGGGAGCAGGGUCUGGCACUCACAAGGGCGCACGACUAGGACUUGUCGAAUGAAUCCUUUGUCGCCUUUAGCUUUUAGUCCUUUGAAGAGAGCAGAAUGGGGAAAUGGAGAGAGAACCUGAAAGAGCCCCAAACUCGAGGACCUAUUGCUCCCCAAGAAUAACAUCUUCCAGAACUAGACAGAAAACUAGGCGUCUGGGAACCCUGAAAUCCUUGGAGGAGUAGAUCAUCAUGACCCUCUGUGUUCCUUUUGGCAAAUGACUUGCUUCCAUUGUUUGUUUGUUCAAUUGUCUGUUUGUUAAAUAAAUAAAACCCUUUUCAUGUAUCUUUAA
rnacentral:lncRNA from 1 species